UUCUUCUCCAUUUAUUUUCCCUUAUUUUUGACUCAAUACGCUAAAUUCACGAAUUUCGUUCAACCUUCUUCACAAUUCAUCCUUUCUUCAUCUACCUUUACAAUACUUAGAUAUUGUGAGUAUUUCAAAGAGGGAAACUUUGGGUUUUAUCUUGGACGUUUUUGGGACGAACUUCGGAUCGAAAAGGGCAUUUUUCAGGUCUUUUUGUGUGAUUUUUGUCUUCCAUAUUCAAAUUGCGGGUUCAUAGAGGAACCUUUUUGAUUUGAGAUUGAGAUACACUGACUGUGUUUGCUACUAAGGUAAGAUUUCUUACUGUGCUUGUACAGAUGAGUUGAGAAAUUGUUUUAUAAUGUUUGGAAAUUUACUUUUACAAUGAGAUUAUUUUAUGAAGUUUAUACGUUGAGAUUUAAAUGGUUCUCGAUAUUUAUAUUGAAAGAGUUUAUGAGAUUAUUCAUGAGAUUUAUAUUAAAAGGAGGAAGUUCCUCAAUAUUACCAAGUUGAGAUUUUUAAAGGAGGAAGUUCCUCACCCUUAAGAGGGUUUAUAGAGUUUAAUUGUGGGGUUGCCGGUAAGCGGUAUUCUCCGAGUUUGGAAGUAUGUUGAGUUAACAGUGUCUCAACAAUAUAUUUUAGUAGUUGGGUGUAUGUUGAUCAAUACACUUGCCAUUAGUCUUCCUUCUUGGUUCGUUAUCAAGUUAGGGGUAUGCAUACUAGGGACUUUGGUGUUUACCUUGUCUAGUGAGCCUAGCUAGCUCAUUGGAUUCUUAUAUACUUCCUACUCACAGAUUACGAAAUUAUAUUUGAAAGUUUUACAGAGUAGUUCAGAAAGAAAGAAAGAUGCUUAUUAGAAAGUUAAUUUUAUAUAUAUAAUUUGUACACCUUUUAAAUGAAUUUGUAAGAUAUUCCUAUAUAUCUUACCUGCACAUUGAAUAGUUUUGUUUUAUUUCAGUAUUAAAUCUUGCUCAGCCUUUGGCUGAUAUUACAGUGUUUAAUGUGCAGGGACUUGAAGAUAGUUAGCUCCAGUUGGGUUAAAGAGUGCGUUGGAUCCAUUUUGAUUUAGUAGACUUUAAAAAGACUUCCGCUGUUAUUUAUUUAUAGGAUUAUGUUCUGGUUUGUAAUAAUUAAUUUUACAUUCUAUUUAGUUGGUCUGUAAUAAUUAGUUAAAACUUUUGGUUAUUGUUUUAGUCAGAACCAUUAGCCUUGCGGUUAUUAUUAAUAAUUAUCGCGGCGUAGCACCUUUGGAUUUCCGAGUUAAUUUUAUUAAGUUGAUUUUAGAAGUA